AGUUAACGUUGGCGGCGUGCCUAACACAUGCAAGUCGAACGCGUCCUAAGGGCAACUUUAGGAUGAGUGGCGAACGGGUGAGUAUCACGUGGGUAAUCUUCCUUCAAGUGGGGGGAUAAGCUCUCGAAAGGGAGUCUAAUACCGCAUGACAUUCCGGGACACAAGUCCCGUAAUCAAAGCCGCAAGGCGCUUGAAGAUGAGCCUGCGUCCUAUUAGCUAGUUGGUGGGUAACGGCCUACCAAGGCUUAGAUGGGUAGCCGGCCUGAGAGGGUGAACGGCCACACUGGGACUGAGACACGGCCCAGACUCCUACGGGAGGCAGCAGUGAGGAAUUUGCGCAAUGGGGGAAACCCUGACGCAGCGACGCCGCGUGGAGGAUGAAGGCCUUCGGGUCGUAAACUCCUGUCAGAGGUGAAGAAUACCCGCAAGGGUUUGACGGUAACCUCAGAGGAAGCCCCGGCUAACUACGUG
rnacentral:rRNA from 1 species